GGACUACCCGGGUAUCUAAUCCUGUUCGCUCCCCACGCUUUCGCUCCUCAGCGUCAGUAAUGGCCCAGAGACCCGCCUUCGCCACCGGUGUUCCUCCUGAUAUCUGCGCAUUCCACCGCUACACCAGGAAUUCCAGUCUCCCCUGCCACACUCCAGCCCGCCCGUACCGGAAGCAGGCCCGCGGUUAAGCCGCGGGCUUUCACUCCCGACGCGACGGGCCGCCUACGAGCCCUUUACGCCCAAUAAAUCCGGACAACGCUCGCACCCUACGUAUUACCGCGGCUGCUGGCAC
rnacentral:rRNA from 1 species